GAUGAACGCUAGCGGCAGGCCUAAUACAUGCAAGUCGAACGGGUUGGUUCAGCAAUGGACCGAUCAGUGGCGCACGGGUGCGUAACGCGUAUGCAACCUACCUUUAACUGGGGGAUAGCCUUCCGAAAGGGAGAUUAAUACCGCAUAAUACUAUUUGAGGGCAUCCGAAGAUAGUUAAAGAUUUAUCGGUUAAAGAUGGGCAUGCGUGCCAUUAGCUAGUUGGUAGGGUAAUGGCCUACCAAGGCUACGAUGGCUAGGGGUUCUGAGAGGAUGAUCCCCCACACUGGCACUGAGAUACGGGCCAGACUCCUACGGGAGGCAGCAGUAGGGAAUAUUGGGCAAUGGACGCAAGUCUGACCCAGCCAUGCCGCGUGCAGGAAGAAGGCCUUCUGGGUUGUAAACUGCUUUUAUCUGGGAAGAAAAAACCCCUGCGGGGGGAACUGACGGUACCAGAGGAAUAAGCACCGGCUAACUCCGUGC
rnacentral:rRNA from 1 species